GACAGAGGCCUCGAGCGUUAGGCGGAAUCACUGGGCUUAAAGCGUGUGUAGGCGGGCCCGUAAGUGUCUUGUGAAAUCCCACGGCUCAACCGUGGAACUGCUGGGCAUACUGCGGGUCUUGGGCCAACUAGGGGCAGCCGGAACAAGCGGUGGAGCGGUGAAAUGCAUUGAGAUCGGAAAGAACACCAACGGCGAAAGCACUCUGCUGGGCCGACACUGACACUGAGAGACGAAAGCUAGGGGAGCAAAUGGG
rnacentral:rRNA from 1 species